GGUUGUAUUAUACAAAAUUGAAGAGAAUUGAAACAGGGCUAAGAAGAGCAAGAGCCGACAUUAGAGAAGCUAAGUUCCUUAAUCAAACACAAAAUCCUGACUUCGUUCCUUCUAGUCCAAUCUAUUGGAAUUCUAAAGCAUUUCACAGGUUAAAUUUCAAUUUUUUGUUUCUUAAUUUUGUUCACAAGUUAUGAACUUUUGAAUUUGUUUUUCUUUCUAACAAUACUGUAUAUAACGUGGAUUAAAAAUUGUUGACCAAAAUUUGAUUAUGAUGCAACUUAUUUUGUUUUUUUUAUGACACAGGAUGACAAGUGUUAAGGGGUGACAUCCUAGCGUUUUUUUGGUUUCUUCAUCUAAUUUUGAAUUCUAUUUUUUCUUUCUUGUAUUACGCAUUUUCGAACGUUUAACCUGAGCAAUGUUUAGGCUUAACCAUGAUUUUGUAUUUAUCACAAGUUUGAUUGAUUUCUUUACAAUAUUUGUGUGUUAUCAUGUAUAUAUCAAAUUGGGAAAAAUUCAAUUUUCUGUGUUGCUAUACGUAGGUAAUGGAGCUUGAUUCAUCAAAAGAGAAUGCGGAUAUGCAAGGUCAUACUACAAGGGCUGAUGGUGGGUGAGGAGAAAAAGAAUUGAAAAGGAAAAAGGAUUUGAAGAAAGCUUUGAAGCUGCAGGUAAAAGCGACAGACCAUACUACUAAGAUGGACAAAGACCAGAGAGAUUGAUCUACACAAGAAUGAAUUUGGCCUUCCUCUCACCAUAAAUCCUAGUAUGUAUUCUGCAUGUGAAUCUUUCUUUUCAAUAUUGUAACACGUUUUAUGAGAACCACUUUUGGUCUUGAACGUACUUUCAUGGAAGUACCAAUUCAAUUCCUAUACUUUCUAACGAGUAAGUCUCUAUACUUUCAAUUUUGUAAUGAUUCAGUGUUUUGGCUUUAACAUGUAAAAAUUGUGGUUUAAAUAUUUAAAUGGUUGUAAAAUUAAAGUACAAAGACUUUAUCAUGUUAAUAAACUAAAGUUCUGAGACUACAUUGUUACUUUCACAUGGGUAAAAAGUAUUUUCUUAACCUUUUUAGCUAAGUUUGGACUGAAAGUGUUAGAUUGAAAUUGUUCUUGCUUUUUGACAUUGUUAGAUCUUGAAGACACAUGAGUUGUGAGAUGAUAUAUGGGCAACUGCCACCACCAUUUGAAAGAGGAUCCAGUUUCCAAACAACCUUGCUACAAAGAUAUAUAUAAGAGGAUUAGUCCAUUAUUCUAAUUUCUUUUGUGGGUAUAAUAAUUUCCAUAAAUACUAAUGCAUUUAUUUUGCAUGUUUACAGAUUGAUACACGAAAACCAUAUUCACAGGCUGAGUUAGAUGAGAUGCGGGUUGAGUUGGCUGAUUUUUUGGGUUCGUACAUAUGAUUGCAACUUAUUUGUGAUUCUGAAGUAGGAAACUUUUUGUUGUGGCUGAUUUUUUGAAUUGUUCAUAU